GGACGGGUAGCUCAGUUGGUAGAGCACUAGAUUGAAGCUCUAGGUGUCGGGAGUUCGAAGCUCUCCCCGUCCA
rnacentral:tRNA from 1 species